rnacentral:rRNA from 1 species
GCAGUCGGACGGUAACGGGUAAGUACUUGUACUUAUGCUGACGAGUGGCGGACGGGUGAGUAAUGCUUGGGAAUCUGUCUUAUGGAGGGGGAUAACGACGGGAAACUGUCGCUAAUACCGCGUAGAGUCGGGAGACGAAAGUGCGGGACUUAAUGGCCGCAUGCCAUGAGAUGAGCCCAAGUGUGAUUAGGUAGUUGGUGGGGUAAAGGCCUACCAAGCCGACGAUCGCUAGCUGGUCUGAGAGGAUGGCCAGCCACACCCGGGGACUGAGACACGGCCCGGACUCCUACGGGGAGGCAGCAGUGGGGAAUAUUGCGCAAUGGGGGCAACCCUGACGCAGCCAUGCCGCGUGAAUGAAGAAGGCCUUCGGGUUGUAAAGUUCUUUCGGUGGUGAGGAAGGGAUGUUGUUUAAUAGAUAACAUCAUUGACGUUAACUACAGAAGAAGCACCGGCUAACUCCGUGCCAGCAGCCGCGGUAAUACGGAGGGUGCGAGCGUUAAUCGGAAUAACUGGGCGUAAAGGGCACGCAGGCGGACCUUUAAGUGAGGUGUGAAAUCCCCGGGCUUAACCUGGGAAUUGCAUUUCAUACUGGGGGUCUGGAGUACUUUAGGGAGGGGUAGAAUUCCACGUGUAGCGGUGAAAUGCGUAGAGAUGUGGAGGAAUACCGAAGGCGAAGGCAGCCCCUUGGGGAUGUACUGACGCUGAUGUGCGAAAGCGUGGGGAGCAAACAGGAUUAGAUACCCUGGUAGUCCACGCUGUAAACGGUGUCGAUUUGGGGAUUGGGGUUUAGCCUUGGUGCCCGAAGCUAACGUGAUAAAUCGACCGCCUGGGGAGUACGGCCGCAAGGUUAAAACUCAAAUGAAUUGACGGGGGCCCGCACAAGCGGUGGAGCAUGUGGUUUAAUUCGAUGCAACGCGAAGAACCUUACCUACUCUUGACAUCCAUGGAAUCCUGUAGAGAUACGGGAGUGCCUUUGGGAACCAUGAGACAGGUGCUGCAUGGCUGUCGUCAGCUCGUGUUGUGAAAUGUUGGGUUAAGUCCCGCAACGAGCGCAACCCUUAUCCUUUGUUGCCAGCGACUUGGUCGGGAACUCAAAGGAGACUGCCGGUGAUAAACCGGAGGAAGGUGGGGAUGACGUCAAGUCAUCAUGGCCCUUACGAGUAGGGCUACACACGUGCUACAAUGGCGUAUACAGAGGGUAACCAACCGGUGAUGGGGAGUGAAUCUCAAAAAGUACGUCUAGUUCGGAUG